UCUCCGUAGGUGAACCUGCGGAGGGAUCAUUACUGAGUGAGGGCUCCGGCCCGACCUCCAACCCCAUGUGAACCGAAACCUGUUGCUUCGGGGGCGACCCUGCCUUUCGGCGCGGCGCCCCCGGAGGCUCAUCAAACACUGCAUCUGUGCGUCCGAGUCAUAUUUGAAUAAAUCAAAACUUUCAACAACGGAUCUCUUGGUUCUGGCAUCGAUGAAGAACGCAGC
rnacentral:misc_RNA from 1 species